rnacentral:miRNA from 1 species
AGGAGGAUACUGGUCUCGUUCUCUUUUGGCUUGUAUGGACCUCGCCUAAAGGCUUGGUUCAUACAAGCCAAAAGAGAACGAGACCAUAAUACAUGU